ACGGGUGAGUAACACGUGAGUAACCUGCCCUUGACUUUGGGAUAACUUCAGGAAACUGGGGCUAAUACCGGAUAGGAGCUCCUGCUGCAUGGUGGGGGUUGGGAAAGUUUCGGCGGUUGGGGAUGGACUCGCGGCUUAUCAGCUUGUUGGUGGGGUAAUGGCCUACCAAGGCGGCGACGGGUAGCCGGCCUGAGAGGGUGUACGGCCACAUUGGGACUGAGAUACGGCCCAG
rnacentral:rRNA from 1 species